rnacentral:lncRNA from 1 species
GCGGGCUGAUAUGAAAAGUUUAUCACAUGCUUCGAUUGUUAUCACAUGCCUUUCCGUAACGUUUUCACAUGGCAUUCCGGUAGUGCUCGGCCAAUUCCGGAAAAUACACCUCAAUGCUUUGUUUUCAGUGAAAAACAUUACAAAGUAGUGUACAAAACAAUUAUUUAAAUACUGGAAAGUAUAUUGUUUAAAAUAAUAAAAAAAUAAAAUAAAAAAAACCAAACAAAUUAUUUUUUAAGUUUUUCUUAAACAUAAUUUAGAAAGUUUCCUUAAAAAGUUGACUUUUCCAAACAAUGAUCAUUAGGUAUAUUGUUGAAUUAUUUUUUGCCGAUUCGUCCAUAUUAAAAUGUUUGUUUUCUCUCUCUCUGUUGAGACAUAUGAUAGAAAGAUUUCAUAUUGAAUGUAUCAAAUUUUGGGCCCGACGGCCGUGAACGUUUUUACUCUUUAAACUUCAGGAACCACAUAAAAGGAUCAAUAUGUGAAUUUGUUAUUUUUCUCUACUGUUGAAGCAUAUGAUAAAAAGAUCAUAACAUGUCAUUUUUCAU